UUAAGCGACUAAGCGUACACGGUGGAUGCCCUGGCAGUCAGAGGCGAUGAAGGACGUGCUAAUCUGCGAUAAGCGUCGGUAAGGUGAUAUGAACCGUUAUAACCGGCGAUUUCCGAAUGGGGAAACCCAGUGUGUUUCGACACACUAUCAUUAACUGAAUCCAUAGGUUAAUGAGGCGAACCGGGGGAACUGAAACAUCUAAGUACCCCGAGGAAAAGAAAUCAACCGAGAUUCCCCCAGUAGCGGCGAGCGAACGGGGAGCAGCCCAGAGCCUGAAUCAGUGUGUGUGUUAGUGGAAGCGUCUGGAAAGGCGCGCGAUACAGGGUGACAGCCCCGUACACAAAAAUGCACAUGCUGUGAGCUCGAUGAGUAGGGCGGGACACGUGGUAUCCUGUCUGAAUAUGGGGGACCAUCCUCCAAGGCUAAAUACUCCUGACUGACCGAUAGUGAACCAGUACCGUGAGGGAAAGGCGAAAAGAACCCCGGCGAGGGGAGUGAAAAAGAACCUGAAACCGUGUACGUACAAGCAGUGGGAGCCUCUUUAUGGGGUGACUGCGUACCUUUUGUAUAAUGGGUCAGCGACUUAUAUUCUGUAGCAAGGUUAACCGAAUAGGGGAGCCGAAGGGAAACCGAGUCUUAACUGGGCGUUAAGUUGCAGGGUAUAGACCCGAAACCCGGUGAUCUAGCCAUGGGCAGGUUGAAGGUUGGGUAACACUAACUGGAGGACCGAACCGACUAAUGUUGAAAAAUUAGCGGAUGACUUGUGGCUGGGGGUGAAAGGCCAAUCAAACCGGGAGAUAGCUGGUUCUCCCCGAAAGCUAUUUAGGUAGCGCCUCGUGAAUUCAUCUCCGGGGGUAGAGCACUGUUUCGGCAAGGGGGUCAUCCCGACUUACCAACCCGAUGCAAACUGCGAAUACCGGAGAAUGUUAUCACGGGAGACACACGGCGGGUGCUAACGUCCGUCGUGAAGAGGGAAACAACCCAGACCGCCAGCUAAGGUCCCAAAGUCAUGGUUAAGUGGGAAACGAUGUGGGAAGGCCCAGACAGCCAGGAUGUUGGCUUAGAAGCAGCCAUCAUUUAAAGAAAGCGUAAUAGCUCACUGGUCGAGUCGGCCUGCGCGGAAGAUGUAACGGGGCUAAACCAUGCACCGAAGCUGCGGCAGCGACGCUUAUGCGUUGUUGGGUAGGGGAGCGUUCUGUAAGCCUGUGAAGGUGUGCUGUGAGGCAUGCUGGAGGUAUCAGAAGUGCGAAUGCUGACAUAAGUAACGAUAAAGCGGGUGAAAAGCCCGCUCGCCGGAAGACCAAGGGUUCCUGUCCAACGUUAAUCGGGGCAGGGUGAGUCGACCCCUAAGGCGAGGCCGAAAGGCGUAGUCGAUGGGAAACAGGUUAAUAUUCCUGUACUUGGUGUUACUGCGAAGGGGGGACGAGAAGGCUAUGUUGGCCGGGCGACGGUUGUCCCGGUUUAAGCGUGUAGGCUGGUUUUCCAGGCAAAUCCGGAAAAUCAAGGCUGAGGCGUGAUGACGAGGCACUACGGUGCUGAAGCAACAAAUGCCCUGCUUCCAGGAAAAGCCUCUAAGCAUCAGGUAACAUCAAAUCGUACCCCAAACCGACACAGGUGGUCAGGUAGAGAAUACCAAGGCGCUUGAGAGAACUCGGGUGAAGGAACUAGGCAAAAUGGUGCCGUAACUUCGGGAGAAGGCACGCUGAUAUGUAGGUGAAGCGACUUGCUCGUGGAGCUGAAAUCAGUCGAAGAUACCAGCUGGCUGCAACUGUUUAUUAAAAACACAGCACUGUGCAAACACGAAAGUGGACGUAUACGGUGUGACGCCUGCCCGGUGCCGGAAGGUUAAUUGAUGGGGUCAGCGCAAGCGAAGCUCUUGAUCGAAGCCCCGGUAAACGGCGGCCGUAACUAUAACGGUCCUAAGGUAGCGAAAUUCCUUGUCGGGUAAGUUCCGACCUGCACGAAUGGCGUAAUGAUGGCCAGGCUGUCUCCACCCGAGACUCAGUGAAAUUGAACUCGCUGUGAAGAUGCAGUGUACCCGCGGCAAGACGGAAAGACCCCGUGAACCUUUACUAUAGCUUGACACUGAACAUUGAGCCUUGAUGUGUAGGAUAGGUGGGAGGCUUUGAAGUGUGGACGCCAGUCUGCAUGGAGCCGACCUUGAAAUACCACCCUUUAAUGUUUGAUGUUCUAACGUUGACCCGUAAUCCGGGUUGCGGACAGUGUCUGGUGGGUAGUUUGACUGGGGCGGUCUCCUCCUAAAGAGUAACGGAGGAGCACGAAGGUUGGCUAAUCCUGGUCGGACAUCAGGAGGUUAGUGCAAUGGCAUAAGCCAGCUUGACUGCGAGCGUGACGGCGCGAGCAGGUGCGAAAGCAGGUCAUAGUGAUCCGGUGGUUCUGAAUGGAAGGGCCAUCGCUCAACGGAUAAAAGGUACUCCGGGGAUAACAGGCUGAUACCGCCCAAGAGUUCAUAUCGACGGCGGUGUUUGGCACCUCGAUGUCGGCUCAUCACAUCCUGGGGCUGAAGUAGGUCCCAAGGGUAUGGCUGUUCGCCAUUUAAAGUGGUACGCGAGCUGGGUUUAGAACGUCGUGAGACAGUUCGGUCCCUAUCUGCCGUGGGCGCUGGAGAACUGAGGGGGGCUGCUCCUAGUACGAGAGGACCGGAGUGGACGCAUCACUGGUGUUCGGGUUGUCAUGCCAAUGGCACUGCCCGGUAGCUAAAUGCGGAAGAGAUAAGUGCUGAAAGCAUCUAAGCACGAAACUUGCCCCGAGAUGAGUUCUCCCUGACUCCUUGAGAGUCCUGAAGGAACGUUGAAGACGACGACGUUGAUAGGCCGGGUGUGUAAGCGCAGCGAUGCGUUGAGCUAACCGGUACUAAUGAACCGUGAGGCUUAACCUU
rnacentral:rRNA from 1 species